rnacentral:rRNA from 1 species
CCUACGGGUGGCAGCAGUGGGGAAUCUUGCACAAUGGACGAAAGUCUGAUGCAGCAACGCCGCGUGGGGGAUGAAGCUUCUCGGAGUGUAAACCCCUUUCGACCCGGAUCCGGUACGGGUAUAAGAAGCCCCGGCUAACUACGUGCCAGCAGCCGCGGUAAUACGUAGGGGGCCAGCGUUGCUCGGAAUUACUGGGCGUAAAGGGUCCGUAGGCGGUGUAGCAAGUCGAUAGUGAAAUCUCUGGGCUUAACCCAGAGGCUGCUAACGAAACUGCUGUGCUAGAGUGUGAGAGAGGCGAGUGGAAUUACGGGUGUAGCGGUGAAAUGCGUAGAUAUCCGUAGGAACAUCCGAGGCGAAGGCGGCUCGCUGGUCCAACUGACGCUGAGGGACGAAAGCUAGGGGAGCAAACAGGAUUAGAUACCCUUGUAGUC